GUUGAGAACCAACGCGAGACUCUAAAGGUGACACACCCCCCCCCCCAAAUGCAAUGCCAAGCGCGAGAUAAUCAAAUAAAACAUACAUCCAAACAAACAAUCAUACAUACAUGAGCGAGGGGGUAGUUGAAUGCAUACGUGAGACAAAAGGUCCUAAAAAUGGAAGAUGCAACCCUAAUAUCCAAAUGCAAUGCAUAAUAAGGGUAGAAAAUGGAAAAGAAUGGCUAAAUCAAA
rnacentral:lncRNA from 1 species